rnacentral:lncRNA from 1 species
CCCGGAAGUAGCAGUCUUGGCCACAACCGCAGUGUUGGAACCACUCGAGGGAGGAUGAGGGGCACAACGGAGGAAGCGGCGCCCGACCAGAUAUCCGAGCUGCAAGCCCCUGAACCGCAGCCUCCACAGAGGAGAUCCCGACCCUGUAGGCCUAGAACAUCUCCUCAGAUGAAGUAUGUCGUAUCAGGAGUUUUUGCAAUAGGAGCAGAGAAGACACAUUCUCCAAAAUUGGUAAGAAUUAUUGAAGCAACUUGAAAAAUAAAAAUUUUGCUUGUCAAAAACAAGGAUAUAAAUAAGGAGGGUAUAUCAUUGCCUCUUAAGCAGUAGAAAUGUAUUCAAAAUACUGAAAUCUAA